AGCUGUGUGGACUGAGGAGCAGCCUGCUCACCAUGGCCUGGGCCCCCAUGCUCCUCGUGCUGCUCUGUCACUGCACAGGUUCCCUCUCCCAGCCUGUGCUGACUCAGCCGCCCUCUGUGUCUGCAUCUCCUGGAGCCACAGCCAGACUCACCUGCACCCUCAGCAGUGGCUUCAGUGUUGGCAGCUACUACAUAAACUGGUUCCAGCAGAAUCCAGGCAGCCCUCCCCGGUAUCUCCUGGAGUAUAAAUCAGACUCAGACAAGCACCAGGGCUCCGGGGUCCCCAGCCGCUUCUCUGGAUCCAAAGACACCUCGGCCAAUGCAGGGCUCCUGACCAUCUCUGGGCUGCAGCCUGAGGAUGAAGCCAACUAUUACUGUGCUACAUGGCACAGCAACAGUAAUACUUACACGGUGCUCCAGGGUCAUGGGGAAGUGAGACUAAAACCCUCACUGUGCACUUUCUGCCUGUGGCUGUCACUGCUUAUCUGCCUGGGACCAAGUCUAACUCAAUUGGCAUUUCUUGUCCUUUCUUAAGUGGGCAACUCUUUUCCUAGUACCC